UACGGAGGGUGCAAACGUUGCUCGGAAUCAUUGGGCGUAAAGCGCACGUAGGCGGUCCGGAAAGUCGGGUGUGAAAUCCCUCGGCUCAACCGAGGACGUGCGGAAGAAACUGCAAGGCUCGAGUCCGGAAGAGGGGGGCGGAAUUCCCAGUGUAGCGGUGAAAUGCGUAGAUAUUGGGAGGAACACCAGUGGCGAAGGCGGUCCCCUGGGCCGGAACUGACGCUGAGGCGCGAAAGCGUGGGUAGCAAACGGG
rnacentral:rRNA from 1 species